GAAAGGGACGGCUAANUACGUGCCAGCAGCCGCGGUAAUACGUAGNUCCCGAGCGUUGUCCGGAUUUAUUGGGCGUAAAGCGAGCGCAGGCGGUUAGAUAANUCUGAAGUUAAAGGCUGUGGCUUANCCAUAGUACGCUUUGGAAACUGUUUAACUNGAGUGCAGAAGGGGAGAGUGGAAUUCCAUGUGUAGCGGUGAAAUGCGUAGAUAUAUGGAGGAACACCGGUGGCGAAAGCGGCUCUCUGGUCUGUAACUGACGCUGAGGCUCGAAAGCGUGGGGAGCGAACAGGAUUAGAUACCCUGGUAGUCCACGCCGUAAACGAUGAGUGCUAGGCGUUAGGCCCUUUCCGGGGCUUAGUGCCGGAGCUAACGCAUUAAGCACUCCGCCUGGGGAGUACGACCGCAAGGUUGAAACUCAAAGGAAUUGACGGGGGCCCGCACAAGCGGUGGAGCAUGUGGUUUAAUUCGAAGCAACGCGAAGAACCUUACCAGGUCUUGACAUCCCAAUGCCCGCUCUAGAGAUAGAGUCUUACUUCGGUACAUCGGUGACAGGUGGUGCAUGGUUGUCGUCAGCUCGUGUCGUGAGAUGUUGGGUUAGGUCCCGCAACGAGCGCAACCCCUAUUGUUAGUUGCCAUCAUUAAGUUGGGCACUCUAGCGAGACUGCCGGUAAUAAACCGGAGGAAGGUGGGGAUGACGUCAAAUCAUCAUGCCCCUUAUGACCUGGGCUACACACGUGCUACAAUGGCUGGUACAACGAGUCGCAAGUCGGUGACGACAAGCUAAUCUCUUAAAGCCAGUCUCAGUUCGGAUUGUAGGCUGCAACUCGCCUACAUGAAGUCGGAAUCGCUAGUAAUCGCGGAUCAGCACGCCGCGGUGAAUACGUUCCCGGGCCUUGUACACACCGCCCGUCACACCACGAGAGUUUGUAACACCCGAAG
rnacentral:rRNA from 1 species